CAGAAGAUAGCUUAAUGGAUAAAGCGCCUCAUUUUACAGAUGAGGAGAUUCGGAGGUUCAAUUCCUCCGCUUCUGACCA
rnacentral:tRNA from 1 species